UCAUCGGCCCUUUUUAGGGCCAACAAUUUUUUCAAAACGUCGACU
rfam:Habropoda laboriosa contig5014, whole genome shotgun sequence.